rnacentral:tRNA from 2 species
GGCUCCAUAGCUCAACUGGAUAGAGCAUCAGACUUCGGAUCUGAGGGUUGAGGGUUCGAAUCCUUCUGGGGUCACAA